GCCCGCCUAGCUCAAUCGGAUAGAGCGUCAGACUCUUAUGAGCGCGGGUGUACGUCACGUGCUGUCACGUGAUCUGAAGGCUGUGAGUUCGACCCUCGCGGUGGGCU